AUAAAUAUUUAAAAAAAGUUGUUUAUUAUUUUUUUUAAUAAAUUUUUUUUUACGUAUUUUUUUUAUCUAAUGGAAAAAAUGAUUUUUCCCAAGCUAAUCAAAAUAUGACUGAAACGAUUAACCUACCAGCUUCCAAUACAGAAAACACUCAACUAUAUGCUAUAACUAAAAAUUAAAUGUUUAUUGUUUAUUAAAAUACAUUGGCAAUCAAAUUAUCUUCAUCUCAAAUUAUUUCAAAAAAUAUGUUAGGCACUCAAGUUAAGAUCAGUUUUACUUUUCUAUAUUUAAUAUAACAAAAAAAAUAGCAACAAACUUAUAUUCCCAAUAUCAUUUUUAAAAUAUACCUAAAAAUUUAGGCCCUCAGUCAAAAACUAUUACAGCUACAUUCGAAUUCUCUUCAUCUCAAAAUAUUUCAAAAAAUAUCUUAGGCACUCAAAUUAAGCUACCAAAUAAAUACAACCAAAACUUUAGACUACACUGGAUAUUCUCUUCAAAAUCUUUCAAAAUUUUUUUAGGAAACCAUAAAUAAAACAAAUAGUUAUUAUAUAUUUAGAAUGUUUAUAUUAAAUUUAAAAAUAUAUUGGAACCAAAUACAAUCUAAUAGAGCUUCCAGAAAACAAUACAAUCAAGAUUUCAAAAACCUAAUAAAAAGCAAUUUAUAAUUUAUAUUGUAUUCUAUUAUAUCAAAUUUUAUUUCUGUAUAUAUAUUUACAAUUAUAUUAUUGUAUUUUAUAAUACAUAAUUUUAAUUAUAUAUAUAUAGAAUUAUAAUAUAUUAUUGUGUUCUUACAAAUUUUAUUUCUAUAUAUUUCUAAAAUA